rnacentral:rRNA from 1 species
GACGAACGUUUGCGGCGUGCUUAACACAUGCAAGUCGAACGGAAAGGCCCUGCUUUUGUGGGGUGCUCGAGUGGCGAACGGGUGAGUAACACGUGAGUAACCUGCCCUUGACUUUGGGAUAACUUCAGGAAACUGGGGCUAAUACCGGAUAGGAGCUCCUGCUGCAUGGUGGGGGUUGGAAAGUUUCGGCGGUUGGGGAUGGACCCGCGGCUUAUCAGCUUGUUGGUGGGGUAGUGGCUUACCAAGGCUUUGACGGGUAGCCGGCCUGAGAGGGUGACCGGCCACAUUGGGACUGAGAUACGGCCCAGACUCCUACGGGAGGCAGCAGUGGGGAAUAUUGCACAAUGGGCGGAAGCCUGAUGCAGCAACGCCGCGUGCGGGAUGACGGCCUUCGGGCUGUAAACCGCUUUCGCCUGUGACGAAGCGUGAGUGACGGUAAUGGGUAAAGAAGCACCGGCUAACUACGUGCCAGCAGCCGCGGUGAUACGUAGGGUGCGAGCGUUGUCCGGAUUUAUUGGGCGUAAAGGGCUCGUAGGUGGUUGAUCGCGUCGGAAGUGUAAUCUUGGGGCUUAACCCUGAGCGUGCUUUCGAUACGGGUUGACUUGAGGGAGGUAGGGGAGAAAUGGAAUUCCUGGUGGAGCGGUGGAAUGCGCAGAUAUCAGGAGGAACACCAGUGGCGAAGGCGGUUCUCUGGGCCUUUCCUGACGCAGAGGAGCGAAAGCGUGGGGAGCGAACAGGCUUAGAUACCCUGGUAGUCCACGCUGUAAACGGGUGGGUACUAGGUGUGGGGGUCCAUUCCACGGGUUCCGUGCCGUAGCUAACGCUUUAAGUACCCCGCCUGGGGAGUACGGCCGCAAGGCUAAAACUCAAAGGAAUUGACGGGGCCCCGCACAAGCGGCGGAGCAUGCGGAUUAAUUCGAUGCAACGCGUAGAACCUUACCUGGGUUUGACAUGGAUCGGGAGUGCUCAGAGAUGGGUGUGCCUCUUUUGGGGUCGGUUCACAGGUGGUGCAUGGCUGUCGUCAGCUCGUGUCGUGAGAUGUUGGGUUAAGUCCCGCAACGAGCGCAACCCUUGUUCACUGUUGCCAGCACGUUAUGGUGGGGACUCAGUGGAGACCGCCGGGGUCAACUCGGAGGAAGGUGGGGAUGACGUCAAGUCAUCAUGCCCCUUAUGUCCAGGGCUUCACGCAUGCUACAAUGGCUGGUACAGAGAGUGGCGAGCCUGUGAGGGUGAGCGAAUCUCGGAAAGCCGGUCUCAGUUCGGAUUGGGGUCUGCAACUCGACCUCAUGAAGUCGGAGUCGCUAGUAAUCGCAGAUCAGCAACGCUGCGGUGAAUACGUUCCCGGGGCU